rnacentral:rRNA from 1 species
ACAGAGGGUGCAAGCGUUAAUCGGAUUUACUGGGCGUAAAGCGCGCGUAGGCGGGCUGUUAAGUCAGGGGUGAAAUCCCGGGGCUCAACCCCGGAACUGCCUUUGAUACUGGCAGCCUAGAGUUCGAGAGAGGUGAGUGGAAUUCCGAGUGUAGAGGUGAAAUUCGUAGAUAUUCGGAGGAACACCAGUGGCGAAGGCGGCUCACUGGCUCGAAACUGACGCUGAGGUGCGAAAGCGUGGGGAGCAAACAG